rnacentral:tRNA from 1 species
GGCGGGGUAGCUCAGAUGGUUAGAGCGUCGGAUUCAUAACCCGGAGGUCACGAGUUCGAUUCUCGUCUCCGCUA